rnacentral:misc_RNA from 1 species
AAGGAGUCGUCCUCGUAUGCGAGUGUUCGGGUGUAAAACCCCUACGCGUAAUGAAAGUGAACGCAGGUGAGAGCUUCGGCGCAUCCCCGACCGAUCCUGCUGUUCUCGGAUGGAUUUGAGUAAGAGCAUACGGGGCCGGACCCGAAAGAAGGUGAACUAUGCCUGUAUAGGGUGAGGCCAGAGGAAACUCUGGUGGAGGCUCGCAGCGGUUCUGACGUGCAAAUCGAUCGUCAAAUAUGGGCAUGGGGGCGAAAGACUAAUCGAACCAUCUAGUAGCUGGUUCCCGC